rnacentral:tRNA from 1 species
GCCACAUUGGUCAAGGGGUUACGACGCAUUUCUUUCACGAAUGAAUCACAGGUUCGAUUCCUGUAUGUGGUA